GACGAACGCUGGCGGCGUGCCUAAUACAUGCAAGUUGAGCGCUGAAGGUUGGUACUUGUACCAACUGGAUGAGCAGCGAACGGGUGAGUAACGCGUGGGGAAUCUGCCUUUGAGCGGGGGACAACAUUUGGAAACGAAUGCUAAUACCGCAUAAAAACUUUAAACACAAGUUUUAAGUUUGAAAGAUGCAAUUGCAUCACUCAAAGAUGAUCCCGCGUUGUAUUAGCUAGUUGGUGAGGUAAAGGCUCACCAAGGCGAUGAUACAUAGCCGACCUGAGAGGGUGAUCGGCCACAUUGGGACUGAGACACGGCCCAAACUCCUACGGGAGGCAGCAGUAGGGAAUCUUCGGCAAUGGACGAAAGUCGGACCGAGCAACGCCGCGUGAGUGAAGAAGGUUUUCGGAUCGUAAAACUCUGUUGGUAGAGAAGAACGUUGGUGAGAGUGGAAAGCUCAUCAAGUGACGGUAACUACCCAGAAAGGGACGGCUAACUAC
rnacentral:rRNA from 1 species